AGACAGGACUUGCUGGCGCUGUGUGUAUACUUGAUGAUGAACCCACAACUAGUGGUAGACAGUGUGGUCAGAUUGAUCCUAGUGUAUGUCAAAGUCAAAAAGUUAGCUGCUCGCUUGCUGUAAUGGUCCAGCCUGAAUCUGGACCUCUUUGUUUGUUCGGCGCUGAAUUCCAGAAGAAUAUUUGCUGGGAAUUUCGAAUCUGGACCUCUUUGUUUGUUCGGCACUGAAUUCCAGAAGAAUAUUUGCUGGGAAUUUCUUGUGGCUGGCUCUGAGCAAGGCAUUGAAGCUGGACAAGUUGGGCUUAGAUUAAUUACUAAAACUGAUAAACAAACUACUGUAAAGGAAUGGAGUAUAAGUGGCACCAGUAUAGCAGAUGGAAGGUUUGCAAAUUUUUCCUCUUUGUUUCUGUGUGAAUUGCUGUGAAAAGGUGGUCUCUGUGGUUGCUUAGGACUUCUGUCUUGUUCUUCUUUUCUGAUAAAUCAAUGUAUAUUUUAUUAGUACCCACUAAGGUGGUGUUAACUAUACAAGAAACAGUACA
rnacentral:lncRNA from 1 species